CAGUGUUACUGCCGGUACUGCUCCACAAGAGCAACGUUACACUGUUUGAUCAGUCAGUGAGACAAUGACAGUGGAUAAUGACCUUAAUCGAUCUCUGAUAUUCUCACACAGCGAGGAAACAACAACAACAACAACAACAACAAACAGCAGCCAUUGAACUACCAGCAGCUUCAUUGUCACUGUGUUUGUCUUUGUUGUUCGAGACGCUGUUCGCUUGUCGCUUUCACUGAAUGCUCAUCAACAGGUGGCGUUGAUUUCCUCUGACAAUAACAGCAAGAAAACAACAACAACGACUGUUUAAAAGGUUCAAGUAUCCGGAGAUGACCGCGAACUUUCCGUCAUGGCGUCAGUUCGCCUGAGCAGCCCGGUGGAGAGUCUGUUCCCUGGUGGAGAGUCAUUGUGGACUAGAGAGGGAAUACCGGGAAUAUCUGCUUCAUGGAGACGUUUGGAGGACGAGAGGAAGAAGAAAAGAGGACAUAAGACGAAGAACUGGAGUUUGUUGUGAGUUAGAAGGAGGACUGCUGCUGAGGCUCUGUGGGAACUAUGGAAGAGUCUUCAGGUUG